UUGGCCCCAAAUCAAGGCCAGCAGUUUGCUAAAGUUGUUGGUUUCAAGCGAGAGCCUAAAGAAGUGUCUUUCUAUAGUCUGUUGGCCAUUUCAGAACUUGGGAAAUCUGGAGUUCCCGUCGUGGCUCAGUGGUUAACAAAUCUGACUAGGAACCAUGA
ensembl:snoRNA